UGCAGUCGAACGAACCCUUCGGGGUUAGUGGCGCACGGGUGCGUAACGCGNGNNAACCUGCCUUUAGGUUCGGAAUAACUCAGAGAAAUUUGAGCUAAUACCGAAUAAUGUCUUCGGACCAAAGAUUUAUCGCCUUUAGAUGGGCCCGCGUUAGAUUAGAUAGUUGGUGGGGUAACGGCCUACCAAGUCGACGAUCUAUAGCUGGUCUGAGAGGAUGAUCAGCCACACUGGGACUGAGACACGGCCCAGACUCCUACGGGAGGCAGCAGUGGGGAAUACUGGACAAUGGGCGAAAGCCUGAUCCAGCAAUGCCGCGUGAGUGAUGAAGGCCUUAGGGUUGUAAAGCUCUUUUACCAGGGAUGAUAAUGACAGUACCUGGAGAAUAAGCUCCGGCUAACUCCGUGCCAGCAGCCGCGGUAAUACGGAGGGAGCUAGCGUUGUUCGGAAUUACUGGGCGUAAAGCGCGCGUAGGCGGCUAUCCNAGUCAGGGGUGAAAUCCCGGGGCUCAACCCCGGAACUGCCUCUGAAACUAGGUAGCUAGAAUACUGGAGAGGUGAGUGNAAUUCCNAGUGUAGAGGUGAAAUUCGUAGAUAUUCGGAAGAANACCAGUGGCGAANGCGACUCACUGNNCAGNUAUUGACGCUGAGGUGNGAAAGCGUGNGNGCAAACAGNAUUA
rnacentral:rRNA from 1 species